rnacentral:rRNA from 1 species
CCAAGCAAAACGAACUUUUAGUUUGACCCCCCGAAACUAAGCGAGCUACUUCAGAACAGCUUACAGAGCCAACCCGUCCCUGUCACAAAAGGGUGGGAAGAUUCUAAAGUAGAGGUGACACACCCAUCGAGCCUAGAGAUAGCUGGUUAUUCAGGAAAAGGAUUUUAGUCCAACUUUAAGUUUACUUAGUAACAUUAAACACACCUGCAACUUAAAAGCCACUCAAAUAAGGUACAGCCUAUUUGAAUAAGGAGACAGCCUACAACACAGGGUAAUGGCACAUGACGUGGCCAAGUAGGCCUAAAAGCAGCCAACUAAUUAAAAGCGUCCAAGCUUCCCCACCAUCUCUUACUGAUCCCUAUAUCAACACCCAACCCGCAACUACUACUGAAUAAUUCUAUACCACUAUAGAAGACAUUAUGCUAGAACUAGUAACAAGAAGAAGAACUUCUCCUCAGUGCAAACGUAAGCCAAAACGAACCCAUCACUGGCAUUUACCGCCACAAUCGCAGUAUCAACCACCCAAGAAAACCCUACUGCCCAAAGCGUCAACCUUACACUAGCGCACUCCCGGAAAGAUUAAAAAAGGAGGAAGGAACUCGGC